rnacentral:rRNA from 1 species
GACGAACGCUGGCGGCGUGCUAAACACAUGCAAGUCGAACGAGUGGCGAACGGGUGAGUAACGCGUAAUCAACUGCCCUUCAGCGGGGGAUAACUAUUGGAAACGAUAGCUAAUACCGCAUACUAGGAGAUGGACCUGCGUUGUAUUAGCUAGUAGGUAGGGUAAUGGCCUACCUAGGCGACGAUACAUAGCCGACCUGAGAGGGUGAUCGGCCACACUGGGACUGAGACACGGCCCAGACUCCUACGGGAGGCAGCAGUAGGGAAUCUUCGGCAAUGGGGGGAAGCCUGACCGAGCAACGCCGCGUGAGUGAAGAAGGUUUUCGGAUCGUAAAGCUCUGUUGUUAAGGAAGCGGUACCUAACCAGAAAGGGACGGCUAACUACGUGCCAGCAGCCGCGGUAAUUC